UACGUAGGCAGCAAGCGUUGUUCGGAGUUACUGGGCGUAAAGGGUGUGUAGGCGGCCAACUAAGUCAGACGUGAAAUCCCUCAGCUUAACUGGGGAACUGCGUCUGAUACUGGAUGGCUUGAGUUUGGGAGAGGGAUGCGGAAUUCCAGGUGUAGCGGUGAAAUGCGUAGAUAUCUGGAGGAACACCGGUGGCGAAGGCGGCAUCCUGGACCAACACUGACACUGAGGAGCGAAAGCCAGGGGAGCAAACGGG
rnacentral:rRNA from 1 species